UGGAGGCAGCAGUGGGGAAUCUUCCGCAAUGGACGAAAGUCUGACGGAGUAACGCCGCGUGAGGGAUGAAGGCCUUCGGGUUGUAAGCCUCUGUCUUCAGGGAAGAAAAAAAUGACGGUACCUGAGGAGGAAGCCCCGGCUAACUACGUGCCAGCAGCCGCGGUAAUACGUAGGGGGCGAGCGUUAUCCGGAAUCAUUGGGCGUAAAGGGCGCGUAGGCGGAUAUUUAAGUCAGGUGUGAAAACCCAGGGCUCAACCCUGGAUCUGCAUCUGAUACUGGAUAUCUUGAGGACAGGAGAGGAAAGUGGAAUUCCUAGUGUAGCGGUGAAAUGCGUAGAUAUUAGGAGGAACACCAGUGGCGAAGGCGACUUUCUGGACUGUAACUGACGCUGAGGCGCGAAAGCGUGGGGAGCAAACAGGAUUAGAUACCCCCGUAGUCCC
rnacentral:rRNA from 1 species